rnacentral:snRNA from 1 species
AUCGCUUCUUGGUCUUUUGACUCAGAUCAAGUAUAGUAUCUGUCUUCAACCUGUCACUUUUAUUUACUAAUCUUU